rnacentral:pre_miRNA from 1 species
AAUAUGUUGACACCAUUGACUUUUUAGCACAUGUUUGACCGUUCGUCUUAUUCAAAAAAUUUAAGCAAUUAUUAAUUCUUUUCCUAUCAUUUGAUUCGUUGUUAAAUAUAUUUUUAUGUAGGCAUAUAAUUUUACAUAUUUCACAAAAUUUUUGAAUAAGACGAAUGGUCAAACAUGUGCUAAAAAGUCAACGGUGUCAAACAUU